rnacentral:rRNA from 1 species
UGGGGGAUAUUGCACAAUGGGCGAAAGCCUGAUGCAGCGACGCCGCGUGGGGGAUGAAGGCUUUCGGGUUGUAAACCUCUUUCGCUAUCGAACAAGGCCCGCUUAGGGUGGGUUGAGGGUAGGUGGAGAAGAAGCGCCGGCUAACUACGUGCCAGCAGCCGCGGUAAUACGUAGGGCGCGAGCGUUGUCCGGAAUUAUUGGGCGUAAAGGGCUUGUAGGCGGCUUGUUGCGCCUGCUGUGAAAACGCGGGGCUUAACUUCGCGCGUGCAGUGUGUACGGGGAGGCUUGAGUGUGGUAGGGGUGACUGGAAUUCCAGGUGUAGCGGUGGAAUGCGCAGAUAUCUGGAGGAACACCGAUGGCGAAGGCAGGUCACUGGGCCAUUACUGACGCUGAGGAGCGAAAGCAUGGGUAGCGAACAGG